rnacentral:misc_RNA from 1 species
UUUUUUUUUUUUUUUUUUUUGUUAGUAUUGGUUUUAUUCUGCUUAUGUGCUGAUUUUGCUAUGUGAUUCUAUUUAAGAUUCCUUUUGACAAUGCAAUUUAUCUAUUUUUUGUACUUUAUGUUUAUGCAAGAGCAUAUUCAAUCUAUUAAGGACUAGAUGUAAGAGUACAUAUUCACCAGGACUUGGUGGAUGCCCAUGUUAGAGAUGAAAGAGUUUGUACUGCUGUCUUUGAAAUUGGCUGGAGUAUGUAUGGAUAUUUAACACCAUUUAGCAGUUUUUUUGGUCUCAUAUUUACUACUGUAAAGUUUUCAUCAGAUUUUCAAUUCCAAGAAGAAAAAUGUCUUGUCAAAACGAAUGAGAUAUUUGCAUGUACAUGAUAUCAGAUUUUCUUGAUGGUAAUUACCUAGGACUAGGAGUUAAAAAAAACCUUUAUUUGUCUUUUUUGUUUUCCCAAAAAAGAGCUCCAGGAUUGCUGCCUCUAAGGUGCUGAGGAUAUAAGAUCCAGGAAUCUGCCAUCUU